rnacentral:lncRNA from 1 species
CAGAGUGAUGUGGUUUUCAGCCCAGAUUGUAGCUCCUUCCACGGCGACAAGAUGGGUCUUACCUGCCUGGGGGCAGGUGCUAAAAUCAACACUGUGUGAUGAGUAGGUGUAACCAUCUGUAGUUCCUCCUUGCUGACUCCUGGCCCAGCGACCAGCCCGCGUCUAUCAAGGCAGCCCAACAACAUCUUACACAACGACAUAAACCUGCUGGGCACCCAGUGUGGAAACAGACAAGUAUAAAAGCCAGGUGCUGGUGAUUUGAUAAAGUAGAGAGACUUUCUAGAAAGUUUCUAGCAAUCAAUAGAAAUGACUCUGUGUUACAUACAAACUGAAAUGCUACAGUUUGGUACAUAAGUCUAAUAUCCAGGUGAAUAUGAU